GAGCCCACCUAGCUCUUGUCUGAUCGUUGUUUUCACUGACUUGGUGAGUUGGGGUGGGGUGGGCGGUGAGCCCAAAGGGGUUCUCACUUCUGGCGUCAAGGGACAAUGCCAGGUGGGGAGUUUGACUGGGGCGGCGGUACACCUGUCAAACGGUAACACAGGUGUCCUGAGGCGAGCUUAGGGAGGACAGAAACCUCUUGUGGGGCAGAAAGGCUAAAGCUCUCUUGAUCUUGAUUUUCAGUAUUAACGCAGACUGUGAAAGGGGGGCCUCACAAUCCUUCUGAUCUUUGGGGUUUUAAGCAGGAAGUGUCAGAAAAGUUACCACAGGGAUAACUGGCUUGUGGCAGCCAAGUGUUCACAGCGACGACGUUGUGUUUUGAUCCUUCAAUGUCAGCUCUUCCUAUCAUUGUGAAGCCGAAUUCACCAAGUGUUGAAUUGUUCACCCACUAAUAGGGAAUGUGAGCUCUUGCCUCAGGAAAGGCUGUU
rnacentral:ncRNA from 1 species